UACGAGGGGGGCAAAUGUUGUUCGGAAUCACUGGGCGUAAAGGGAGCGUAGGCGGGUUUCUAAGUCAGGUGUUUAAUCCCGGGGCCCAACCCCGGACAGGCACUUGAAACUGGGAAUCUUGAAUAGUGGAGAGGUCAGUGGAAUUGGGGGUGUAGCGGUGGAAUGCGUAGAGAUCCCCAAGAACACCAGUUGCGAAGGCGGCUGACUGGACACAUAUUGACGCUGAGGCUCGAAAGCACGGGGAGCAAACAGG
rnacentral:rRNA from 1 species